UGACCUCAAGUGAUUCUCCUGGCUCGGCUUCUCAAAGCAUUGGGAUUACAGGUGUGAGCCACCAUGCCUGGCUGUAAGCCUCGCUUAAAAUCCCAUCCUCCAAAAAUUCUUACAGAAUUCUCCAGUUGCCAUUAACUUCACCCUCUCCUGUGGUCCCAUGAGACCUGGUACCUUCAUUGGAGUAGAGACCUUUGGCUGCCUUAUUACGGAGGAAUGUCUGUCUGUCUGUCCAUCUCCUUUCUAGUUUGUGAUCUUCUGGAGGGCUUGUCUCUCUGGCCCCCCGAACACCUGGCACCAUGUUUUGCACAAAAAGUUCCGUUCCGAUUGGAAUUCAUUGUGGGUUACAGACCACAUGCAGAUGUGUGCUAGGGAGUUAGAUGACAUUCCCUCAAAUGUGAUCCACUGGAACUAUUUGAAAUACCACAGUUGUGUGGAAUUGGAUGGACAGAAUGUAAAAGUCAAGCCCCUCUAACUUCAGGCAACAUUGGUGCUAAUAACGGCGAUAACCCUGCAAUUCGUAUGCAAUCUACAGUUGCUAAAGCAUUGGCACAUUAAUUAUUUAGGUCCUCCUUGGGGAGAGAUUUAAUUAUCUGUUCAGCUCCAAUGGCUUUGAAGAGCCUUAAAUGGUCUUCCUGGGAAGAAAUGACCACCCCAGCAGCUGCCGAACACAGGUGCAGGCUGGAGCCCUUGAGGCCACCCUGCAGAACAGGGUUCUCUCCAGGCUUUGGGUCCUAGCUGCCUGGAUCAUAAGAUCUACCCCCCGAACCCCCCCACAAAAAAAAAAAAAAAAGAAAGCCAAAAACAGAUAAUCUUCCUGGACAACUCAUGCCUUGUGGGCUCAGAGUAGGAGUCAAAGGGUAUAGUCUCUUGUUUAGGAAGGAAUGGAGGAGGAUGGGGGCAGAGUGUCAGGAUCCCAUCCCCAGCCCAAGGAACCUGGCCAGAGGGUGGGCACUGCAGAGGUGGGGGUGGGUCCUGAGCUAAGCAGGGAAGGCCAUGGGCAAAUUCUGUUGCUGCUGCUGGAGCAAGUACCUGGUUUGGUUGACACUAGCAGCAUGUAGUCCCUCCUGCCUCCAGCAAAAAGGCUGCCGCUUGGCUCCUUCCCCUGCUUGGAGGAUGGAGGCCAAGGGAUGAUGGGAAUAUUCCGAGCAGGAGAGAAGGAACAUGUCAUGGGGUGAGGGCAGGGCUGAGAGACCUUGGGAGAAGGCCAGGGCUCGGGAGACUUGGGUGAGAAAUAGGGUCAAGGCCAGUAGUGUGAAGAGUUCUAGAGUGGCCAGAGCUGGAGGUGGAGGGGACUUUGUGUGGGGAAUUAAACAUCCAGGGGAGUCAAGGCAGGACCUGGAAGAGCUCUGUGGGGCCUGGAAGCCUGAAGGUGGGCUGGGGGAGGGCCAGGUGAGGGGCCAAGGCAGAUGGGAGCAGACAGAGGGGCAGGCAUUUAGGGGCAGGGUGGCCCUACCAUCCUUUUGUGAGGUAGCUGGCCCCACCAGGGGUUAGAACUUGUUAACAGGAAGCGAGGUAUCCUGAGGUGCCUUGGUCCUCAGGGCCAGAAGAGGAAGAGACUCGAAUCUGGCCCCAGAAACUGAACUGAAACCAAUGUCUGGGGUGGGGGUGAGGGUGGGUGGGUCUCACUCCUCCCCCGUGCUCAUAGCCCUCCACGUCUUCAUGUGGAAGAACUGUGUUCUGUCUACAGCGUUAUUUAUUUAGAGGUACUGCUUCUUUUCCAUUGGAGGGUAGGCUCUUGGAAGAUGGGGUGGUUCUUGGCUGGAGGGAUUGAAGGAGCCAGGAUAGAUAGUUGGGGCCAAAUGCAAGAGCCAAGUUCAGCACCUUGGAGAGCUCUGAGUGCCCUGGGGUCAGGCCAGAACGACAGGGGAACUCUAUAGAGGUUAGAGGGUGCCCUGGAGCAGCUGACGACGUCCACCGCUGAGUGGGGCUGGGGCCCUGACAUCCUCCUUCAGAGGCAGACUCAGACCCCGAGUUCUGGGAACCUCAGAUGGCUUGUGUCUGUUUGGCCCCUUCGUUUAUUCAUUAAACUGCUGUUUCCUGUGUGCCGGGCACUGGCGGGGGGAGAAGGGGGUGCUGGGGUCACAUGGAAAUCGGCACGUGUGCAGAGCUGGGGGAGCUCACAGUUUAACGGGAGACACACUCACAGAGCGUGUGUCUGCCUGGAAUGCCCUGCAAGAGUCGUCUGACUGGGGCAAGUGCUGGGCGGAUGUGGCACCGAGGAGGGGAUGGCUGGUUCUACCCGACGGAGCUGAGGAGAGUGUCCACAGGGAAGGUGACAGUCAAGGGAAGACUCAAAAGGAGGCUGGGGGCCACUGGUGGAUUUCACGAGGGAGGCUGAGAGCGUCAGGCCUGGACCAUGGAGUAGAAGCCACUUUCUGUCCCCAAGGAGCUCAAAUCUGAUGGGAAAGGAGCCACUGGAGUAGACAGAGGUGAGUUUGGCUGCUCAGCACUGGAACCCCUUCCUACUGGGGACAAUCCCAAGAUGUGGGGAUCUGGGCCUCGUCACUGUGGGGGCCCAGGGGAGGUAGCUCCCUGAUAGCUGGCAUGUGGUCAUGAGGCCUGGGCUUGGCCGGUUGGGUGCUCCGGCCCCAGACUUCGAAGUUCCUUCAGGAGUGCAAAGACAGUGAUGACCAUGUUGGCUGUGAUGAACUUGCAAAGCUAUGCUCCCCCAGGACCUGGGCAGGCUCUGCCAUAAGUGGCAUUUAUCAUAGGCCUGACAUAUCCAUGCAUCUGUCCCAGUCAGGGCCUGGGAUGCCAACCACAGGACCCAGUUCUGACAGCGAAGCAGAAAGGUAUAUAUUGGAGGCUGGUGAACGAGGCUGGGAAUUGGGGCAGGAAUUGAGGCAGUGCAGCCAGGUCCGUCACAGAGACAGUCCCCCUGGGGUCCUAUACAGGCACAGUCUCCCCCGGGAGCCUGCUGCCCUCCAUUCCCAGCCAGCGGGCAGCCCUGGGUUCCAGGAGUGGGUGGCUCUGCAGCUACCAUGAGACCACCCCCUACUCUCUAUCCAUUCAGAGGCCCUGGCUGACUGGCCUCCACUGGGGGUCCUGGGGAGCUGGGUGAACAGCUGUUGUGGGGUGUGGGGAGGGGCUGGCUGGGAAGAGGCCGAGUGAGCAGCCUCAGAGCUUCGGCAUCCAAAGCUGCAGACCCACAAGAAUGGUGUGCUUUGGAAAUAGAAGGGCCACAGGGACCUGGACGAGGAAAUGGUAUUCCUCCAUAAGGGAUGAGGAGCCCGACGGCCACAGAUGCAAACCCAAAGCCUAAAUUCUCAUGUGCUCAUGAAACCUCACUUUGUUGUAUUCUUCCUGGAGACCUAAUCUUUCCAAGAUCUGGCCAGCUACGGCUUUGGGAAAGUCAGCCACCUGCACCAGGUGACAGGCCGGCUUAGAGAAGGAGUGGAAAGAGAUUCAGGGAGAACUGGGGAUAGGGGCAGGCAGAAGAGUCACAGGAGACGGGAAAACAUGGGUCUCCCCUCCUGCUUCAGUAAAAGCCAUUAUUUCCCAAGAAUUCUGAGAGCCAUAGUCCUAGCAAAUAAAUCAAUACUUUUAAAGGAUUUGCAAGAAUCAGUGAACCAGAGCCGGGAGUACAAUCAGUUUAGUUACCUAGGUAAAGAAGGAAAUGAAAUGGAAACCCCAGAUGCCAGGAGCUAAUGUCAGCUCAGAACACUGCGAAUCCCAUCCAGGGAGGAGUCACAGCUGGGAGGAUGUGGGGCUAGGAGAGAGGGGAGAAGAGAGAGUGUGUGUGUGUGUGAGUGUAUGAGUGUGUGUGUGUAGAGACCCCUCCCCUCUCUGCCCACCCUGUGCCCUUCAUGGUCUUCCAGGAGGAGUGUCUGCCCCUGGUUCUCUGUGCCCACCCCUCCUGCCCAUCCUGGCCCGGGUCAGUUUAGGACAAUACACCUGCCUCCUGCCAUUUCGGGGGGGGGUAAAAGCCCAAGAGUCAUUUCUAGUUUUUCAUAUUUCUAACGACCUUUUAAGAUGAUACAAGUAAUCUCCACAUCAUUAUAGGAAUAUUAGAAAAUCUUUACAGGCAUGAAAGAAGAAAGUGGAAUUGUGCCCUCCAGGUGAUCCGCCCCCUGCCGCAGGCCCUGGCGCAGAGUCAGGAGGUCAGGUCUGCCUUAGAAGGCCUAUGGCAGGCCUGGGGGCUCGGGGGAUCAUGCAACGGCGGGGAGUCAGCCCCUCAUCCUGCCAAGGGUGACACACUGCUGCAGUGCCCCCAUGUAGCAGACAUGGUGCCCAGCACGCCCCCUGCCCAUCACACUGGGCGGCGAGUCCAUGUUGUGCCCCAGCCUGUGAGGAGGCACCCGGCCUGGUUCCAUGAGGUCCCAGAAAGAACCAACAGAUGGGCUGUACUGACACCCCCCUCCUCCCAACCCCCAGGUUGUGCCUGGUCUCCCCUUGUCCCAGGCCAAUCCCUCCUCCUGGGUGUGUAAUCUCUGCCUGCUGAAUCCUAUCUUCCAGUUAGCCUGCCAGCUCAGGCAGGUGGAGCCGCCGCCUUUCCCUCCCCCGAUACUCCCAGAGCCCUAUGCAGCCUCUGACACUCACUGGGCUCCACGUGACGAUCAACACGACUGAUACCCCAGAUGCAGGAAGGAGAGGCCUGACUGGGCACACGGCCCAUGCUCCAGGGCCUUCUGGCUCGAUUCUCCCUGCGUGGGACCAUUCAUGUGUCCCUACCAUUUCGGCUGAGCUUCCGGUUUUACCGACACCCGUCUCUGCCUGGGUCCCUCCCCAUAUGUAUUUAACGUGACAGUCUGUUUUUCUUGGGAAGCAGAACCUACCAGAUUCUGUGAUAAUACCACGGCCCUGUUUUUACAAAUCCACUGGACACAGUUACCCAAGAGUUGCUGUCCUGCACUGGCGUGGCCAAGCCUGUGUACUCGGUUGCAGCCCCGGGUUCUGGGGGCCUCAGCUCUAAAUGAGCCGGGCACCGGCCUCUGUGCUCAGAGGCUGACCGGGGGUGGCAGGGCAGCCACACGGUGGGGGGACCAUCCCCUACGUGAACACAAACGCUGAGAAGGACCAGUCUCCCCAGCAGGCUGUGUCCAGCACUGGCCAUGGGCGCGGCUUAUGGGGCAGAAGGGAUGCGACAACCUGGCUUUCUGCCCUCUCGGAGCCUUCUCUGCAUGUACAGUUAUCCAUUCAGUGGGGCAGGGCUGUGCAGAAGGGAAACGGAGGCUGCGUGGGAGCCUGGAAGAGGAGGGUGGCACCUAGGCUAUUCCCUCCGCCUGGGAAUUCCUUCGUCCUCGUUCAGAAAACAUCUACCCAUUCGGUAAGAUCAGCUGCCACUCUGUGGUCCCACCACACUUGGCUCAGCACUCUGCUGAGUCUGUUUGCUUCUCUCUGGACCGGGGGUGGCUCAUGGACAGGGACUUCCAGCACUGAGCACCCAGCAGGGGCAGAGAGGUAUCUGCUGGCUGAGUAAAUGACCCUGACCAAAGGGGAAGACAGGGGCCUUCCUGGCCUGGGGGCACUGAGACGCUGCAGGCUGGCCGCGUGGGGGUCGUCACCAGCUGAGUCUGCAGUCCCCUGUGGUCACACAGGACCAGGUCCUCCUAGACUCCACAGUCCCCAGCCCAGGGAUGAGGAAGGUGCUGCUCGGCCUGACAUGGGAGUGGCCACUGCCCACCAUGGGCCACGGCCUUCCUGCUCAGCUCAGCCUUGCUGGUGAAUCAUGCUGCCCCUGCUGUGCCACUUCCGGGCUCUCUGCGCUCCCACGCUCUGCUGCGGAGGCCCAGGCUGGCUCCCUCUCAGGGUGGGUGCUGCCUCUGGAGGGUGGAGGUGAGGGGAAGGGACUGAGGGUGGUCCUGAGGGGCCUUGCUGGAGCAGCAGUGGGGACCACGCACAUCUGAGGGUUUGGGUAAGUGGGGGCUGCAGCCAGGCCUGGGGCAGGCUGGGGACAGCCUUUUCCCCAGCCUGGCUGGCCUGGGGGAUCGGGAGGGUCUGCGAAUCAAGCUCUGGGACUCCUUGAAGUUCCAGGAAGAACUCCGCCUGUCCCAGCAAAGGUGGAUCCAGGAGAGGAGUGGGCUUGGCCACCUCGGCUGCCACCAGAAGCUGCCCCUUCAGCUCCUAUCUGUUCCCCUCUGCCCCUGGAGCUUCUGAAACCACUUCCCUCCUCCCUGGACUUCUGCAGGCCGAGGUGUGACUGCUCUGUCUCCCGUUAGCAAGGUCUGCAGCAUUGCUCUGAGCAGCAUCCUCCAAUGUGGUGCACCUGUUCGACAGGGGUGCACAGGUAGGCGCUGGGGCAGGGGAAGUCAUGGACUUGCUCACCACUCCGAAAAGCUCUCACUCCUCAGGAAAGCUCUCAAAAGCAAAGCCUGCAUCUGACCGGUCUCUGCACCCCAGUGCCUAGCAUAGCUUCUGGCCUCAAGCAGGUUUCAGGUAAGGUUUGAAUAAGUGACUGAGGGAAACAGGUGCUGGCUUGGAGAAGGUGCUGUGGGAUAGAAGGCACUGAGCUGGGUCUUGAAUGGACAGGGUUUGAGCCAUCAGCCAUGGAGGAAGGGCUGUCCACAAGCAGAGACUCAAGGUAGAGAAGCACAGAGUGACCAGGGAUGCUACAGCUGGGCCAGCUGGGUGGGGGACGACGGAGGGAAGAUGUCAAACAGGGAGGAGGAGAAAAAAAUUACACAGAGAGGGGCAGGACCCUGGCAACAAUUGCACUGAAGUGCUUUAGACAUUUCCAGAAAUCCAGUGUUCUUCUCCCCUGGGCAGCGCCUACAAUGGAAAGCAAAAGCCUGCAAGCUUCAGGGUCGUUCAGUGCCUGGCCCUCUCCUGGCCUGGAAAGAGGAACAGACGGAGGCCAGCAGGGCUGGGUGGUCUCCCGAUCACAAGCAUACAUUUCCCAGGCAUCUGGGCAGUGAUGGAAUUGUCAGCCUGGAAGUCACCUCGAAGGAGAAAUGACCGCGUGCCUCAGACAGAACAGACCCCAGGCCUCAGCGUGGAGCACUCACUACCCAAGAGCUCAGGGUCCUAGGGGUGGAGUCCAGGGCCACUGGGUGGCAGGGCCAGAAGGAGCAGCCGGAUCUACACAGGAUGGCACCGUGCAGUGGUGGUGAUGCUGAGCAGGGCCCAGUGAGUGCUUGCUGGGUGAUCGCCGCGGGCUGGCAUGGCACUGGCACUUCACACUCCUCAUUGCUUUUGAGUUUUGGGAGAGGUGAGGUGACCUGCCCAGUGGAGGGAGGCUGAUCUGAUCUGACAUAGGCCUGUCCUGUCUCGCAUUGGUUCCUGGCCUGUGUACUGGGCUCACCUGGAGGCUUUAAAAAUAUACAGAGGCUCAGGCUUCACCCCCCAAGUUUCUGAUUCACAAGUAUGUUUUUGCCUUUUUAUUCUCACUCCUGAAGUGUCCGGAUCUGUGCUCAGAGCUCAAAAGAAAUUUACUAAAAAAUAUAAAAUUAAGGAACAACAGCUCAAAGAGCCAGCAAUUUAUGCAAAUGAAUGCAAAUAAAUACACACUUCCAUACAUAUGUUUAUGCAAAUAUUCUUGUGGUCCUUGCAAAUCACUCACCCACCUGCUAGCAGCCACCUACGAAUUCUUGGUUGAGAACCCCGGGCAGAGUGCCUGGGUUAAUGACAGGUGGUAUCACGACCUCCCAGAACAGACGUCUCUAUUAGCAAACUCAUCCCAGAAGUCCCCCAGGGAACCUCACUGAGCCUGGCUCUGCCCACCACAACCGCCUCCCCUACUCACUCAGGACUCAGGACUCUUUCAAGGCCACUGGCCAGGGAGGAAUUGGGAGCAACUGUCCAGCAGGCACUCCAAGGCCACCAGGGCUGGGCAGAGAGAGAGGGGCCCUGGCAACUGCCAGGUGCCUGAUCGCUGCUGGGAGGACAGCUGUGACCACUGAGGGUCGGGCUGCCUUUACCUCUGUGCCAGUCUGGGUGGGCCAGCUUGUGACUGAGCACUUGGUCUUGGGUGCUCCACAUGCGCUGUCUGCCUGACCACACCCUACGGCUCACUUUCAUAAAGCAGGAGGCACUGGACUUCAGAAGGAAACUCACCCAGUCACGAUCAGAGGUGAGUGCCCCAUGCCUAUUUCCUCAAUGGACGCUCCUUGCAUAUCCAGCACUCAUUUGCAACCCCUUCUGCCAGGCUUUGUGGAACAGUCAUGAUCUCCAUAACUUCAAGGCACCCUCGCUUUGUUGCCUCCAGGAUAAGCAACUUCUGCAACCUUCUGGCUUUUGGCCUUGGUCCCCGAGAAAGACUGAGAGGAACUGCUCUCUUCCCACAGGGUCACCGCACACUGUCCUUCCUGAGCCGAGGCUGGGCACACUUCUCUAGUUGCUGCCUGGGGCGGAGGGAGCUUGGCAAGGGGGUUGGGAUGUGGCUCUGAAGAUCCACCCAAGACCCCUGCCCUGGUUUCGGGGAUCGUAGCUCAGCCUGUCUUAGGCAGCCUUGGAAAAGGCACAUGCAACUUGUUAUUUCUCUAGUUGCUGCAUCUGGGAUGUGGUUGCCGUCAUCAUUUGGGAGGCUCUGGGGAGCUCGAAUGUGAGCCCCCAGAGGGCAGGGAGUUGGCUUGUUAUGCAGGGUAGGUGCUCAGUACAGUUUUGUUGACUGAUGCAUAGAAUGAGUUUUUCCUCUGCAACACCUAUGCCUCAAUAUUUUCUCCAGUUGUCCUUGUGACUUCAUGCACAACUUGGGGUGAGGUGUGGGCCUGUCCCACCAUGGUACUCACCUCCAAGAGGGCAAGAAUGGACAGUGUCCCCCAUGGACCCAGUAUACAGCUCGAUUUGGAAAAGGUUAUUGAUAUGGUUUGGAUAUUUGUCCCCUCCAAAUCUCACGUGGAAAUGUGUUGGAGGUGGGGCCUGGUGGGAGGUGUCUGGGUUAUGGGUGCGGACCCCUGGUGAAUAGCUUGGUGCACCUCUCACUGUCUUGAGAGGCCUCUCCCUCUAUUAGUUCAUGCUAGGCCUGGUUGUUUAAAGAAGCAUGGUGCCCCUUCCCUCUCUCUUCCGUCCACCCUCACCUUGUGAUGCCUGCUCCCCUGUGCUCUCCACCAUGAGGGGAGCCUGACCACACCCUACGGCUCACUUUCAUAAAGCAGGAGGCACUGGACUUCAGAAGGAAACUCACCCAGUCAUGAUCAGAGGUGAGUGCCCCAUGCCUAUUUCCUCAAUGGACGCUCCUUGCAUAUCCAGCACUCAUUUGCAACCCCUUUAGAGGCCUCUCCCUGAGGCCUCUAAAGAAGCAGAUGCUGGUGUCAUGCUUCCCGUACAGCCUGCAGAACCAGGAGCCAAAUCAACCUCUUUUCUUUAUAAAUUACCCAGCCUUAGGUCUUCCUUUAUAGCAAUGCAAAAUGGACCAAGAUAGUUCCCUAGUUGAAAAGGUAAGUUCAUUUCAGCAUGGGUCUCACUUUUGGCAGGGGUACUGGUGGUAGGGAGAUGGCAGAGGGGUGUCAAACCCUUCAGGCCAUGAUGGAAAUUCAGUGACUAGUGUCCUAUUGGGCACCAGAAGUCAGUUCAGGUAUGACUGUCUCACCAAAGGCCUGUGACAGCAACUUUUCAAGCAUAGAAAUCUCUGGGCCUUGGUGACAACACAUCCCUCCAAACCCUGGGCCCCUGGUGGCAACCCAGCCCUUCGAGUUGUAACACACGGUGGAUUCCAGUCCAGUGGAGAGAAAUCCGCCACGUGGUGUUGGGAGACAAGCCUGGCCUCACUGUCCUCACUCCCAGUUCUUGUUGGUCCAACUUUUCAGGAAGAAAAAGAGCUCUCACACUCAGAACAUUCCCUGUCUGAGUACCAGAGGCCCUAGCUCAGCCACCAGCCACCCGAGUCACCACCCAGGCAUGGGAGCGAGGCCCAGGCCAUGGGGAGCACUAUCUCCGUGUACUCUUUUUUUUUUUUUUUUUUUGAGACAGAGUC